UUUUUUUUUUUUUUUUUUUGAGACAGAAUCUUGCUCUGUUGCCCAGGCUGGAGUGCAGUGGCACCAUCUCAGCUCACUGCAACCUCCGCCUCCCAGGUUCAAGUGAUCCUCCUGCUUCAGCCCCCCUCCAUAGCUGGGAUUAUAGGCACACACCAGCAUGCCCUGCUAAUUUUAGUAUUUUUAGUAGAGACAGGGUUUCGCCAUGUUGGCCAGGCUGGUCUGGAACUCCUGACGUCAGGUGAUCCACCUGCCUUGGCCUCCCAAAGUCGUUGGAUUACAGGCGUGAGCCACUGUGCCUGGCCUAUAACACUAUUUCUUAAAACAAAACAAAAAGACCAAAGAACAAGCUUUAAACAACCAAAAUGACUGAAAAGACAUCAGUAUCUCUCACUAGUGGUGUGAAUUAAGUUUGUUUACUUGCAUAACUAAGAAUAAAUGAUGGUUAUAAUGGCACCAGUAUAGGAUAUCUUGGCUAUGUGCUUUAACAAUAUACAGGUUGACCAUGAAGUCUGGAAAUAGAUACUAUUAUUUUAUCAUGUAUUUAAAUAUAUUAAUAAACCAUUAAUAUGUAUUCAUUAA
rnacentral:lncRNA from 10 species